UCCUAUGGACCGGAACUCACCAUUUUCGAUAUAAAAUUGUUCAAACCCAACCCACCCCUAGUCCAAACCCUAUCAGUCUCCAUCUUCAUCCCUAACCCUAAACCCUAGAGCCCGCCACCCUUCAAACCUUUACCAUCUCUACUGGCAGCGACGACAUAAACCACUCUGAUCCCCUCUAAAUUAACGCUAUAUAAUCCUCUUGCCUUCCUCCUGCUGAAUCUCCUGAUAUUUUUCCAUAAAUCACCCUCAAACCUCUCAAAUUCUGGAUCUAAACCUAGAUUAAAAUUAAAAACCUAAAUCGCCCAAAACCCCCAAGCUUACACCAUGAAAUCCCUCACAUUUUGUUUCCUCUACAAUCAGCCCCAAGACUGUCAACACUGAAGCAGGGUUUCAAAAAAGGCAUAGAUUUUCCCUUUUUUUUCUUUCUUGGUCAGCAUAUGGUCAGGCGGACCCAAACUGUCGUUAGUCGAUGGUGUUUUAUUUAGGAUAGUUGAUUAAUGUUAGUUAAAGGUUUGAUUCAUUCGUUUAAGGUCAGGUUGAGUUUUUAAUGGAUUAUGUUUAGAGAGAACAUAAGUAUUUCAUCAUUAUUUUUUUUUCUUUGUGUCCCGUUGUUAUUUGCUUCCCAUUUCUUUUGAGUUUUUACACUACUUCGUGACUGUUUACUUGCAUAACUUAGGGCUUUUAUCAUUUUAGUAUUAUUCUUUGAUUUUUGUGUUUAAUCAUUGUUGUUAGACAGUAUUUUAGUAUUAGUUCAUGAAUCUUCUAUCAAUAUUAAAUGUUCAGUUUCUAUUUGGUUAGGGUUCAUUUAGACGAGUUUAGUUUAUGGGUUAGGCAAACUCAUUUGGAAUUACCAUACUAAUCUGUCUCAUUGUAGUGUGACGUUUUGUUAAUGGCCGUGUGUGAUUUUAUUCAGAAAGAUUGAUCCUCAGGGAUAGUUCAGUCAUUAGAACAUGUUAAUAUUGGUUUCAUUUUUUCAAAUGAUGUGUCAUUUUUUAUUCUUUUAGUAAUAAAAUUAUUUAAGUUAAAAGUUAAUUCAAAGCCAGUCACUGAGUGUUUGGUACUUCCAAUCAGUCAAUUGUGCCAUUUUUGUUUUCCGUUUGUUAGUAUUAGUUCAUCAGCAAUUGGAAAUGUGGCGACUAAAUGGUAUAACGAAGAA
rnacentral:lncRNA from 1 species